rnacentral:rRNA from 1 species
AUUACAGAGCGUGAGGCUCAGCCACGACAUCUGCCGCGUGCUGGGCCGACCCUCCCACCCGUGUCGAUUUGUAUCUUGUUGCUUUGGCGGGCCGGGUUGCGUCGAUGCUGGCCGCAAGGACAUGCGUCGGCCGCCCACCGGCUUCGGCUGGAGCGCGUCCGCCAGAGACCGAACCAAAACUCAUGUUAUCUUGGCAGUCUAAGCUUUAUUUAUUGAAUUGAUAAAACUUUCAACAACGGAUCUCUUGGCUCUGGCAUCGAUGAAGAACGCAGCGAAAUGCGAUAAGUAAUGUGAAUUGCAGAAUUUAGUGAAUCAUCGAAUCUUUGAACGCACAUUGCGCCCCUUGGUAUUCCGAGGGGCAUGCCUGUUCGAGCGUCAUAACACCCCCCCUCCAGCUACCUUUGUGUGGCUGCGGUGUUGGGGCUCGUCGCGGUGCGGCGGCCCUUAAAGACAGUGGCGGUCCCGGCGUGGGCUCUACGCGUAGUAACUUGCUUCUCGCGACAGGGUGACGACGGCGGCUUGCCAAAAGCCCAUUUGUUCCAGUCAUAUGGAUCCACAGGUUGACCUCGAAUCAGGUAGGAAUACCCGCUGAAC